GGAGGUGCUGCAUGGUUGUCGUCAGCUCGUGCCGUGAGGUGUCGGCUUAAGUGCCAUAACGAGCGCAACCCCUUCCGGCAGUUGCCAUCAGGUGAUGCUGGGUACUCUGCCGGUACUGCCAUCGUAAGAUGCGAGGAAGGUGGGGAUGACGUCAAAUCAGCACGGCCCUUACGUCCGGGGCUACACACGUGUUACAAUGGGGGGUACAGAGGGCUGCCAGCCGGCGACGGCGCGCGAAUCCCGAAAUCCCCUCCCAGUUCGGACUGGAGCCUGCAACCCGGCUCCACGAAGCUGGAUUCGCUAGUAAUCGCGCAUCAGCCAUGGCGCGGUGAAUACGUUCCCGGGCCUUGUACACACCGCCCGUCAAGCCAUGAAAGCCGGGGGUACCUGAAGUGCGUAACCGCAAGGGGCGCCCUAGGGUAAAACCGGUGAUUGGGGCUAAGUCGUAACAAGGUAGCCGUACCGGAAGGUGCGGCUGGAACACCUCCUUUCUGGAGC
rnacentral:rRNA from 1 species